rnacentral:snoRNA from 1 species
CCCCUCUCAAGGUCAUACCUGGAGAGUUUCCAGUACUCUACCACUCUUGACUUUGGAAGGAAGAGUCAAGCAGAGGCCUAACCAUUCCAUUCCUAGCUUGGGCAGUGGCUAGUGAGUGGAAGGCAAUCUUCUACAAGU